GCGAGCGAACGCGGAAGAGGGCAAACCGAGAGUAGAAAUACUUUCGGGGUACGGAGCGCAUUUAGGACUUAAGUUGUUAACCGAACGGCAUGGGAAGGCCGGUCAGAGAGUGUGAGAACCACGUAGGUGAAAACGACAAGAGCCGAGCGAAUUCCAGAGUACGGCCAGACACGUGAAACCUGGUCGGAAUACGGGGGGACCACCCUCCAACCCUAAAUACUACCCAGUGACCGAUAGCGUAUAGUACUGUGAAGGAAAGGUGAAAAGGACCCCGGGAGGGGAGUGAAAAAGAACCUGAAACCUUGUGCCUACAAGCACAUAGAGCACAUCAACGUGUGAUAUGGUACUUUUUGUAGAACGGUCCGGCGAGCGAUUGUAUGUUGCGAGCUUAAGGUCUUAAGGACUGGAGGCGCAGCGAGAGCGAGUCUGAAGAGGGCGUUCAGUAACAUGCAAUGGGCCCGAAACCGGGUGACCUACCCAUGAUCAGGCUGAAGUGAAAGUAAAAUUUCAUGGAGGGCCGAACCGACCUCCGUUGAAAAGGCGGCGGAUGAAUUGUGGGUAGCGGAGAAAUUCCAAUCGAACUCGGAGAUAGCUGGUUCUCCCCGAAAUAGCUUUAGGGCUAGCCUCAUGUUAGAUAUCCGGAGGUAAAGCACUGAAUGGCCUAGCGUCCGAGAGGAUAGCGAAGCCUAUCAAACUAAGAAUGCCGGAAUAUUGAUGCAUGGGAGUCAGACAGUGUGAGAUAAAUCUCAUUGUCAAAAGGGAAACAGCCCAGAUCUACAGCUAAGGUCCCAAAUUGUAUCUAAGUGGAAAACGAUGUGGAAAUACGCAGACAACCAGGAUGUUGGCUCAGAAGCAGCCACUCAUUUAAAGAGUGCGUAAUAGCUCACUGGUCGAGCGUCUCUGCGCGGAAAAUUUAACGGGGCUAAGAUACAAACCGAAGCUUAGGCUGCAUCGUAAGAUGCGGGGUAGGGGAGCGUUGUGUAAGCGGAGAAACAGUAGCGUAAGCGGCUGUGGAGUUUACAGAAGUGAGAAUGCCGGAAUGAGUAGCGCGAAUGUGGUGAGAAUCCACAUGGCCGGAAACCUCAGGUUUUUGGAGGAAGGUUCGUCCGCUCCAAGUUAGGCGGGAGCUAAGGUCAGGCCGAAAGGCGUAGCCGAUGCACAGACGGUAGAGAUUCCGUCCCCACCGAAAGAUUUAAGCACAGGGACACUUUUUGAAGGUCGGAGCCAGGUGUUGGUUCUGGUAGUGAUCGAGGGAAAUUUAGUACCGAAGUCCGGCUGGAUAAGAGGCGAGAAAAGCUGUGUGUAUAUCUAAGGUGCCCGUACCGCAAACCGACACAGGUAGGUAGGAAGAAGAUUCUAAGGCCAACGGGAGAAGGGUUGUUAAGGAACUCGGCAAGUUGACCCCGUAACUUCGGAAUAAGGGGUGCUCACGAGAGUGAGCCGCAGAGAAUAGGCCCAGGCAACUGUUUACCAAAAACACAGGUUUGUGCUAAAUCGAAAGAUGACGUAUACGAGCUGACGCCUGCCCGGUGCUGGAAGGUUAAAAGGAGAUGUGCAAGCAUUGAAUUGAAGCCCCAGUGAACGGCGGCCGUAACAAUAACGGUCCUAAGGUAGCGAAAUUCCUUGUCAGGUAAGUUCUGACCCGCAUGAAAGGCGUAAUGAUUUGGGCACUGUCUCAACAGCCCGCCCGGCGAAAUUGUAGUACCGGUGAAGAUGCCGGUUACCCGCGACAAGACGGAAAGACCCCAUGGAGCUUUACUGUAGCCUGAUAUUGGGUUUCGGUGUUGCAUGCACAGGAUAGAUGGGACGCUGGGAAAGAAGCGCUUUGGCGUUUCUGGAGCGGACGUUGGGAUACCAUCCUUGCGACAUUGGAAUUCUAACCUGCGCCUCUGAAUCGAGGCGGGGGACAUUGUCAGGUGGGCAGUUUGACUGGGGCGGUCGCCUCCUAAAAAGUAGCGGAGGCGUUCAAAGGUUCGUUCGAUCUGGACGGAAACCAGAUGAUUGAGUGCAAACGCAUAAACGAGCCUGACUGCGAGACUGACGGGUCGAGCAGAGACGAAAGUCGGAGUUAGUGAUCCGGUGGUAUGUGAGUGGAAAUGCCAUCGCUCAACGGAUAAAAG
rnacentral:rRNA from 1 species